rnacentral:rRNA from 1 species
GUGGGGAAUAUUGGACAAUGGGGGGAACCCUGAUCCAGCCAUGCCGCGUGUGUGAAGAAGGCCUUCGGGUUGUAAACUGCUUUUGUACGGAACGAAACGGUCCGGGUUAAUACCCUGGGCUAAUGACGGUACCGUAAGAAUAAGCACCGGCUAACUACGUGCCAGCAGCCGCGGUAAUACGUAGGGUGCAAGCGUUAAUCGGAAUUACUGGGCGUAAAGCGUGCGCAGGCGGUUUUGUAAGACAGGCGUGAAAUCCCCGGGCUCAACCUGGGAAUUGCACUUGUGACUGCAAGGCUGGAGUGCGGCAGAGGGGGAUGGAAUUCCGCGUGUAGCAGUGAAAUGCGUAGAUAUGCGGAGGAACACCAAUGGCGAAGGCAAUCCCCUGGGCCUGCACUGACGCUCAUGCACGAAAGCGUGGGGAGCAAACAGGAUUAGAUACCCUAGUAGUCC